UCUUAUGGAUGAGUAAAGAAAGUGGUUUCUUGAGAUGCAACCUACUCCUGGUGAAGAUGCUGUGAA
rnacentral:pre_miRNA from 2 species